rnacentral:rRNA from 1 species
GGGCGCACGGUGGAUGCCUUGACACUAGGAGUCGAUGAAGGACGGGACUAACGCCGAUAUGCUUCGGGGAGCUGUAAGUAAGCUUUGAUCCGAAGAUUUCCGAAUGGGGAAACCCACCAUACGUAAUGGUAUGGUAUCCUUAUCUGAAUACAUAGGGUAAGGAAGACAGACCCAGGGAACUGAAACAUCUAAGUACCUGGAGGAAGAGAAAGCAAAUGCGAUUUCCUGAGUAGCGGCGAGCGAAACGGAACAUAGCCCAAACCAAGAGGCUUGCCUCUUGGGGUUGUAGGACAUUCUAUACGGAGUUACAAAGGAACGAGGUAGACGAAGCGACCUGGAAAGGUCCGUCGUAGAGGGUAACAACCCCGUAGUCGAAACUUCGUUCUCUCUUGAAUGUAUCCUGAGUACGGCGGAACACGUGAAAUUCCGUCGGAAUCUGGGAGGACCAUCUCCCAAGGCUAAAUACUCCCUAGUGAUCGAUAGUGAACCAGUACCGUGAGGGAAAGGUGAAAAGCACCCCGGAAGGGGAGUGAAAGAGAUCCUGAAACCGUGUGCCUACAAAUAGUCAGAGCCCGUUAAUGGGUGAUGGCGUGCCUUUUGUAGAAUGAACCGGCGAGUUACGAUCCCGUGCGAGGUUAAGCUGAAGAGGCGGAGCCGCAGCGAAAGCGAGUCUGAAUAGGGCGUUUAGUACGUGGUCGUAGACCCGAAACCAGGUGAUCUACCCAUGUCCAGGGUGAAGUUCAGGUAACACUGAAUGGAGGCCCGAACCCACGCACGUUGAAAAGUGCGGGGAUGAGGUGUGGGUAGCGGAGAAAUUCCAAUCGAACCUGGAGAUAGCUGGUUCUCCCCGAAAUAGCUUUAGGGCUAGCCUUAAGUGUAAGAGUCUUGGAGGUAGAGCACUGAUUGGACUAGGGGUCCUCAUCGGAUUACCGAAUUCAGUCAAACUCCGAAUGCCAAUGACUUAUCCUUAGGAGUCAGACUGCGAGUGAUAAGAUCCGUAGUCAAAAGGGAAACAGCCCAGACCGCCAGCUAAGGUCCCAAAGUGUGUAUUAAGUGGAAAAGGAUGUGGAGUUGCUUAGACAACUAGGAUGUUGGCUUAGAAGCAGCCACCAUUUAAAGAGUGCGUAAUAGCUCACUAGUCGAGUGACUCUGCGCCGAAAAUGUACCGGGGCUAAAUACACCACCGAAGCUGCGGAUUGAUACCAAUGGUAUCAGUGGUAGGGGAGCGUUCUAAGGACAGUGAAGUCAGACCGGAAGGACUGGUGGAGUGCUUAGAAGUGAGAAUGCCGGUAUGAGUAGCGAAAGACGGGUGAGAAUCCCGUCCACCGAAUGCCUAAGGUUUCCUGAGGAAGGCUCGUCCGCUCAGGGUUAGUCAGGACCUAAGCCGAGGCCGACAGGCGUAGGCGAUGGACAACAGGUUGAUAUUCCUGUACCACCUCUUUAUCGUUUGAGCAAUGGAGGGACGCAGAAGGAUAGAAGAAGCGUGCGAUUGGUUGUGCACGUCCAAGCAGUUAGGCUGAUAAGUAGGCAAAUCCGCUUAUCGUGAAGGCUGAGCUGUGAUGGGGAAGCUCCUUAUGGAGCGAAGUCUUUGAUUCCCCGCUGCCAAGAAAAGCUUCUAGCGAGAUAAAAGGUGCCUGUACCGCAAACCGACACAGGUAGGCGAGGAGAGAAUCCUAAGGUGUGCGAGAGAACUCUGGUUAAGGAACUCGGCAAAAUGACCCCGUAACUUCGGGAGAAGGGGUGCUUUCUUAACGGAAAGCCGCAGUGAAUAGGCCCAAGCGACUGUUUAGCAAAAACACAGCUCUCUGCGAAGCCGUAAGGCGAAGUAUAGGGGGUGACACCUGCCCGGUGCUGGAAGGUUAAGGAGAGGGGUUAGCGUAAGCGAAGCUCUGAACUGAAGCCCCAGUAAACGGCGGCCGUAACUAUAACGGUCCUAAGGUAGCGAAAUUCCUUGUCGGGUAAGUUCCGACCCGCACGAAAGGUGUAACGAUUUGGGCACUGUCUCAACCAGAGACUCGGUGAAAUUAUAGUACCUGUGAAGAUGCAGGUUACCCGCGACAGGACGGAAAGACCCCGUGGAGCUUUACUGUAGCCUGAUAUUGAAUUUUGGUACAGUUUGUACAGGAUAGGCGGGAGCCUUUGAAACCGGAGCGCUAGCUUCGGUGGAGGCGCUGGUGGGAUACCGCCCUGACUGUAUUGAAAUUCUAACCUACGGGUCUUAUCGACCCGGGAGACAGUGUCAGGUGGGCAGUUUGACUGGGGCGGUCGCCUCCUAAAGUGUAACGGAGGCGCCCAAAGGUUCCCUCAGAAUGGUUGGAAAUCAUUCGUAGAGUGCAAAGGCAUAAGGGAGCUUGACUGCGAGACCUACAAGUCGAGCAGGGACGAAAGUCGGGCUUAGUGAUCCGGUGGUUCCGCAUGGAAGGGCCAUCGCUCAACGGAUAAAAGCUACCCCGGGGAUAACAGGCUUAUCUCCCCCAAGAGUCCACAUCGACGGGGAGGUUUGGCACCUCGAUGUCGGCUCAUCGCAUCCUGGGGCUGUAGUCGGUCCCAAGGGUUGGGCUGUUCGCCCAUUAAAGCGGUACGCGAGCUGGGUUCAGAACGUCGUGAGACAGUUCGGUCCCUAUCCGUCGUGGGCGUAGGAAAUUUGAGAGGAGCUGUCCUUAGUACGAGAGGACCGGGAUGGACGCACCGCUGGUGUACCAGUUGUUCUGCCAAGGGCAUAGCUGGGUAGCUAUGUGCGGAAGGGAUAAGUGCUGAAAGCAUCUAAGCAUGAAGCCCCCUCAAGAUGAGAUUUCCCAUAGCGUAAGCUAGUAAGAUCCCUGAAAGAUGAUCAGGUUGAUAGGUUCGAGGUGGAAGCAUGGUGACAUGUGGAGCUGACGAAUACUAAUAGAUCGAGGACUUAACCAU